ACUGUAUAACAAAAUUAUAAUUACCACAGAGUUCAGAAAUUAUCCCCAAAAGUAUAUAAUAGUAUUUUUAAAAUUUUUGAAUGCAGUAAUUCUCAACUGGUUCUAGCUACAUUUGAGUGAACCCCCAAAUUUUGCUUGAUGUAGUUAUCGCUUCUCGGCCUUAUGGCUAAGAUCAAAGUGUAGUAUCUGUUCUUAUCAGCUUAACAUCUGAUAGUUCCUCCAUUGGAGGACAACAAAUGUUAAACUGAUUUUUGGAAUCAGACGGAGUGCUAGGGGCUUGCUCCACAUCUGUCGCGGGUUGGCCCGGUAUUGCAGUACCGCCGGGAUUUCGGCCCAACUGAGUCAUAAAUAUUAAAUUGUCUAUAAAACACAUUGAGACUCUAGCUAGGAUGAAACCUUUUUAAAUGGUCGCGCAAGUUGGACGUAUUGCCGCUUGUUUUAUAUUCCUUGCCACAGUCAAGGCAUUUGGCAAGUUUUUGGUCGUCGGACUUUUUAAAAUAUUUCCAAACAUGCGAAAUCUUACUCCUUUUUGAGUUACUCUGCUUGUUGGGUAAGAAAUCCUUUUCGGAGUCUGUGCUGGUGCAAUCGCAGUCUUGCUUUUCUGGACUUGGCGCAGUAGGCGUGGCGGACCUCCGACGUGUACCUUAAAUUCACCACUUUAUUCCUCAAAAUACUUAUGUAGAAUACAUUAAACAUACCUUUUUUUAAAAAGCGAUCCAUAUUUAUUGGUUCCUUUUUAGUUUUCGUCAAUUUUCCACAAAAAUUUCAAAUUUGUACACAAGCGAAUGCUGAAAUUAUUUUAGCGAUGUGAGACGCCAGCUAUCGAAGGCACCAUCGAUACGGCCGGGAUUUCGGCCCAACUGAGUCAUAAAUAUUAAAUUGUCUAUAAAACACAUUGAGGGUUGAGGUUUAUCGUAGUUUUCUGCUGACAUUGGAAUCGGCGUGUUUUUCAAUAGACCGCACCUUACCAUUCAAAUUCUGCCCAAAGCGAACUGCCUAUUCUAAAACUUUGCAGAUCUUAUGUUAUGAAUAUGCUACAUCUACCAUACAAAAUGAGUAAUCAUUUUAUAUUUGAAUAUUUUGUUUAUUAUUUAAGUCGUCUAAACUGCUAAAGCCGACACCUUUCUUUUUGCUAGCCGGAUCCGACAAAUCUAUCAUAUAAGACUUAAUUGUUUACUUCUUAAUAUGAUACAAAGAACGUCAUAUUUAAGCAAAAUAGCAAAAUAGAGCUUGCAUUAUGCAUUAAAAAUAAAUACUUAUUUGUUUAAUUCGGAAAAGUGGCUCAUAACUAUGUUAGUUAAGGUUUUUUGUUUCUUAAAUUGUCUUUCGUCUCGCUUAUUUGCUGACUUGAAAUAUAUUCUUAAGGCUCUUUCUCACAGCCACUUGGAAAAUCUGUACAAUGAGAUCGUGUAUACCGCUAGUCACAUUGGUUUUGGCUUUACUAUCCACAUCCUUAGCCAUUCGUGCAAACCGAUGGCGGCAAAAGUGCGGCAGAUGGAAUCAGGCCUGUCAUAGAAACAGUGCGGGGCAAUGUGUAGACUCACGUGGAAAUCGCUGUGGAAGUGCUCCAGGCGGUAUCGAUGUUUUUGCGCUUCAAUCAUUUUCACGAUGAAGGUCUCUUUUCUACUGAUUUCGUUGGCCCUAUAUCACAUGGCUGCUGCUAGCUCAGAUCCAAAUGCAAAACCAUGGUGCGGCUUUGCGCUUAAUUGCUUUGCUAAAAAUGGAAAAUGUGUAUCUAUUGACGGAGGCAAAUGUUAUUAUUAUCCUAAACCAAAAUUUCAAAAAUAAAAUAAAACAAUAAAUAUAACA